rnacentral:rRNA from 1 species
GACGAACGCUGGCGGCGUGCUUAACACAUCAGCAAUAGAUUGGUGGCGGACGGGUGAAUAACGCGUAAAGAACUUGCCUCACAGCUAGGGACAACAUUUGGAAACGAAUGCUAAUACCUAAUACUGUGAGAGAGCUUUGCGUCCCAUUAGCUAGUUGGAGAGGGAACGGCUCACCAAGGCGAUGAUGGGUAGCCGGCCUGAGAGGGUGAUCGGCCACAAGGGGACUGAGACACGGCCCUUACUCCGACGGGAGGCAGCAUUGGGGAAUAUUGGACAAUGGACCAAAGUCUGAUCCAGCAUUUCUGUGUGCACGAUGAAGUAUUCGGAAUGUAAAGUGCUUUCAGUUGGGAAGCGGUACCAACAGAGGAAGUGACGGCUAAAUACGUGCCAGCAGCCGCGGUAAUAC